UAGUUGAUCCCGCCAGUAGUCAUAUGCUUGUCUCAAAGAUUGCCAUGCAUGUGUGGGUAUGAACUAUUUCAGCAUGUGAAACCGCGAAUGGCUCAUUAAAUCAGUUAUAGUUUGUUUGAUGGCACGCGCUACUCAGAUAACCGUAGUAAUUCUAGAGCUAAUACGCGCAACAAACCCCACUUCCGGAAGGGAUGCAUUUAUUAGAUAAAAAGGCUGACGUGGGCUUUGCCCGCCGUCCGAUGAUUCAUGAUAACUGACGGAUCGCACGCCCCUCGUCGGCUGACGCGAUCAUUCAAAUUUCUGCCCUAUCAACUUUUCGAUGGUAGGAUAGGGGCCUACCAUGGUGGUGACGGGUGACGGAGAAUUAGGGUUCGAUUCCGAGAGGGAGCCCGAGAAACGGCUACCACAUCCAAGGAAGGCAGCAAAGCAAGAAAUUACCCAACUCGACACGGGAGGUAGUGACAAUAAAUAACAAUACCGGGCUCUUCGAAGUCCGGUAAUUGAAUGAGUACAAUCUAAAUCCCUUUAACGAGGAUCCAAUAGCAUAUAUUUAAGUUGUUGCAGUUUAAAAAAGCUCGUAGUUGGACUUUGGGACGGCCGGUCGGUCCGCCUUCGCGGUGCAACCGGCCGCCCCAUCCCUUCGCCGGCGAUGCGUGGUCGGCCUUAAUCGUCGGGUCGUGCCUCCGCCGUUGUUUUGAAGAAAUUAGAGUGUUUCAAAGCAAGCCCACGCCCGGAUACAUUAGCAUGGGAUAACAUCACAGGAUUUCGGUCCUAUUGUGUUGGCCUUCUGGAUCGGAGUAAUGAUUAAGAGGGAGGUCGGGGGGGCAUUCAGAUUUCAUAGUCGAGGUGAAAUUCUUGGAUUUAUGAAAGACGAACCACCGCGAAAAGCAUUUGCCAAGGAUGUUUUCAUUAAUCAAGAACGAAAGUUGGGAGCUCAAGACGAUCGAGAUACCGUCCCUAGUCUCAACCAUAAACGAUGCCCACUGUGGAUCGGCGGAUGUUGUUUUAGGACUCCGGCCAAAGACCUUAUGAGAAAUCAAAGUCUUUGGGUUCCGGGGAGUAUGGUCGCAAGGUUGAAACUUAAAGGAAUUGACGGAAGGGCACCACUGUGAGUGGAGCCCGUGGGUUUAAUUUGACUCAACACGGGGAAACUUACCGUGUCCAAACAUAGCAAGGAUUGAUGAAUCGAGAGCUCUUUCUUGAUUCUAUGGGUGGUGGUGCAUGGCCGCUUUUAGUUGGUGGAGCGAUUUGUCUCGGUUAAUUCCGAUAACGAACGAGACCUCACCGCUAACUAGCUACGCUGGAGGCAUCCUCCCGCUGCCAGCCUUCUUAGAGGGACUAUGGCCGCUUAGGCCACGGAAGUUUGAGGCAAUAACAGGUCUGUGAUGCCCUUAGAUGUUCUGGGUCGCGACGCCGCUUACACCGAUGUAUUCAACGAAGUCUAUAGCCUUGGCCGACGUGCCCCGUAAUAUUUGAAAAUUUCAUCGUGAUGGGGAUAGAUCAUUGCAAUUGUUGGUCUUCAACCAGGAAUUUUAGUAAGCGCCGAAGUCAUAAGCUCGCGUUGACUACGCCCCUGCCCUUUGUACACACCGCCCGGCCGCUUCCUACCGAUUGAAUGGUCCGUGAAGUGUUCGAUCGAGGCGACGGGCGGUUCGCCGCCCGCAACGCCGCUGAGAAGUCCACUGAACCUUAUCAUUUAGAGGAAGGAGAAGUCGAACAAGGUUUCCGCAGAGGUGAACUUUAUGGAA
rnacentral:rRNA from 1 species